UACAAACCUAGUGUACGUGGUAGUCAUUGCCUGUCGCAUUAUUACUACGUACCCAUCAUUUCCCGCUGAAUCAGGUGGAGUUACAGGAAAUCGUUGGAGGGGAUUUUCGAUGGGUAGGAAGGGAGACAGGAUAAUUCUCCAUAUUAUUUUAUAAGAAAAAAUUACUGAAAAAAUGGAUUGCGAUCCGAAUUUCCAGCUGGGACUUUUCGUUGUGCGUCGGGGAUUUUGAUGGAGACGUGCCGAGAAGGAAGAAACUUUCGAGGGGGAAAAAUUUAUUUCCCGAAUUUUCGUCGAGAUAAAAGGGUUUCUCUGGCGUUUUGAAUUGUAAAUUCGUCCGGAUAGACAGCGGUUUUUCUCCCCUUCAGUCUCAAGAUGCCUGUGAUACCUCGACAGAAUAAAUGCUCAACUAAAAUUUGAGUAAUGAAAAUAUUUAGCCUGUGAAUACAACUGAUUGAGUGCACCAAUGGAGAAUAAAAAAUAUAACUGCCAACAUUAUCCCAAUAAUUUGGGACUUU